rnacentral:SRP_RNA from 1 species
AGCCGGGUCCUGUGCAACAUAGAAUCACGAACCCCGUCAGGUCCGGGAGGAAGCAGCGGCAGUGAAGCUCUAUGUGUGCCACAGGGGUGCCUGGCUAUC